AAUGAACGUUGGCGGCGUGGAUUAGGCAUGCAAGUCGUACGGGAGUAGCAAUACUCUAGUGGCGAAAGGGAUAGGAUAAUAUAGAUCAUCUGCCCCCGGGUCGUGGAUAUACGAGGGAAACUUCGGGUAAUACACGAUAACCUCUCAGGAGCAAAGGUGAGAUUCCGCCUGGGGAUGAGUCUAUAGCCUAUUAGCUAGUUGGCGGGGUAAUGGCCCACCAAGGCUGUGAUGGGUACGAGGCGUGAGAGCGUGUCCUCGAUCACUGGGACUGAGACACUGCCCAGACACCUACGGGUGGCUGCAGUCGAGAAUCUUCGGCAAUGGACGAAAGUCUGACCGAGCGACGCCGCGUGUGUGACGAAGGCCAUUUGCGUUGUAAAGCACUAUCGUUUGGGAGGAAGUGUACGGGGGCUAUCCCCUGUACUUGACCUAUCUUAGGAAGAAGGACGGGCUAAGUUCGUGCCAGCCGCCGCGGUAAAAC
rnacentral:rRNA from 1 species